rnacentral:rRNA from 1 species
UACGGGGGGGGUAAGCGUUGCUCGGAAUUACCGGGCGUAAAGGGCUCGUAGGCGGCCAACUAAGUCGGACGUGAAAUCCCUCAGCUUAACUGGGGAACUGCGUCCGAUACUGGAUGGCUUGGAUUCGGGAGAGGGAUGCGGAAUUCCAGGUGUAGCGGUGAAAUGCGUAGAUAUCUGGAGGAACACCGGUGGCGAAGGCGGCAUUCUGGACCGACAUUGACGCUGAGGAGCGAAAGCCAGGGGAGCAAACGGG